rnacentral:precursor_RNA from 15 species
CGGCGCCACUUUUAAACCAACUUUACCCACUUCUCAACCAACUUUGGCCACUUUUCAACUGCCAUUCACAGAAGUGGGCAAAGUUGGUUGAGAAGUGGGUAAAGUUGGGCAAAGUUGGUUAAAGUU